ensembl:rRNA 5S_rRNA 5S ribosomal RNA
GUCUACAGCUAUACCAACCUGAAUGCAUCUGAUCUCAUCUGGUCUUGGAAGCUAAGCAAGGUAAAGCCUGGUUAGUUCUUACAUGGGAAACUGUCUGGGAAUACCAGGUGCUGUAGGCU